rnacentral:rRNA from 1 species
AAGUCGAGCGGAGUGAUGGUGCUUGCACUAUCACUUAGCGGCGGACGGGUGAGUAAUGCUUAGGAAUCUGCCUAUUAGUGGGGGACAACAUUUCGUAAGGAAUGCUAAUACCGCAUACGUCCUACGGGAGAAAGCAGGGGAUCUUCGGACCUUGCGCUAAUAGAUGAGCCUAAGUCGGAUUAGCUAGUUGGUGGGGUAAAGGCCUACCAAGGCGACGAUCUGUAGCGGGUCUGAGAGGAUGAUCCGCCACACUGGGACUGAGACACGGCCCAGACUCCUACGGGAGGCAGCAGUGGGGAAUAUUGGACAAUGGGCGCAAGCCUGAUCCAGCCAUGCCGCGUGUGUGAAGAAGGCCUUAUGGUUGUAAAGCACUUUAAGCGAGGAGGAGGCUACUGAAGUUAAUACCUUCAGAUAGUGGACGUUACUCGCAGAAUAAGCACCGGCUAACUCUGUGCCAGCAGCCGCGGUAAUACAGAGGGUGCAAGCGUUAAUCGGAUUUACUGGGCGUAAAGCGCGCGUAGGCGGCUAAUUAAGUCAAAUGUGAAAUCCCCGAGCUUAACUUGGGAAAUUGCAUUCGAUACUGGUUAGCUAGAGUGUGGGAGAGGAUGGUAGAAUUCCAGGUGUAGCGGUGAAAUGCGUAGAGAUCUGGAGGAAUACCG